rnacentral:rRNA from 1 species
GCGAAAUCAGGCGUCGUCGGCAUGCAGUCGUAUUGGGCACCGCUCUUCCCUAACACUGCCGUGGAAAAGCAGGGGAUGCAUUCCUUGUACAGCGAUUAUGCACAUAUAUUUGACUUGUCAUCGGAGAAUACAAGCCUGGGAAGCUACAUCGCUCCUAAAGUGGGGCACCUGGCUGUCUUGUUGAAACGUUCUGCCCUCCUUACUGGAAGCGCAUUUUUUACCAUUGCCAUCCGCUACAGAGCUCUGCUGGACAGAUGGAUACUGCAAAAAUGCGCCGUCUCCCAGGGUGCACCUGUUCAAUCAACCAUGAUGUUGCGAUCCUGUUGGCAGUGUAGAUCCCUGCCUUUGUUUGUUGGCAUUGGUGUUCUAAUGGCAAGGCUCUGUAGUUACAUUACCAUUCAGAGUCCUAACAAUAAUCGGCAAGUCAUCCGCGGCAUUGAAGCUAACCUUCAGGGCGAUUCGAUCAUCGAGAAGAACGAGUUCUGCAAUCAGCAAUCCGUCCUUCCAAGUUUGCUUGGCAGCAAGCAUGACUAUGUCCGUUUGCUGCUUCAUUUUAUUUGUAGCACUGCCAUUUUUAAGGCGUAUACGGUGCCAAAGGUGACCAGCUUCAAGGAGAGGAGCAUAGAAAGGAACUAUGAUUUCAGUGCACUUCGGAGCAUCGUGGCAAGAAAUGGACAUUAUCUGACUUUUAUUGGAGCGUUGGUGACUCUGCAGAUCUUUCUACAGAUGAACAGAGUGAACACUACCACUUCACUGCUGCCAAUGCUGAUUCAAACAAUAAGUUCCAGGAGCAAAGCUGCGGUUUUCAGCAAGAUGGUGAUAAUAUUGGUGAACUCGUGCAGCAUUCUUGGAUCCGCUUUCACGACAAAACACCACGGUCGUGCGGCAACGUUAACCGUCAGCAUUGUUCUAAUGGUAUUUUGCCAGAUGGCGAUUCCAUUGAUCGUCGAGUUCCACAUCGGGUUUGGCGGCGCAAGCCGAAUGCCGAGAGGGUACACCGCUGCCAUGUUCUUGCUCACCUGCGUCGUGUCCUGCGGCCUCAGUUGGUCAUGGGGCUCUAUGUUCUGGACCUUUCCCGGCAAGAAGGCCCACUCGGCAGGUCAGCUCUUAGGCAUGGCUCUGAAUUUGGCCCUAUGCUACGCCCAGAUGCAGUACUUCCUGAUGAUGCUGUGGCGGCUGAAGAACGCCAUCCUUGCCUACUAUGCCAUGUGGAUUUGGUCGUGA